rnacentral:lncRNA from 10 species
AUGAGAAUAGAGCCAUCUGCAGAGGAUCAUAAAACCAGCAAAGACAAGGUCUUGUGUAAGAUGCCUUCAGAAGCUUUGUCCAUGAGAACUCUAAGGACUUCUCCAGACCUGUUGUCUGCUGCCCAAAAGGAGCCUCUGACCAGCAUCCAAAGGGCUUCCGGACCCACUGGACUCUUCUGGAGAGAACCCAGGAGGUUAUCAUGACCCCUGGAAAGCCCGACCAGGAAUAGGAGUGCAAGUGGCAUAGGUGCAUGAAUGCAGAAAUACAAUCUCUACUGAAAGUAAGUUUCAUACUAGGCAAGAAUUACAGGAUAUACAUAGAACUUUUGCUCACAAAGUCAAAUCAGAUGUACAAAUUCAAUGUGGUUUAGGAGUCAAUGGUGGUAAGUUCAUUGUGCUUAUGGGAAGUGAAGUAGGACAAAUGACUGUAAUAGCAAAUAACUCCAGGAUUAAUGAUGAAUUAAUUGCUAGAGCAGAAAAUAUCCAAGACCUUCCUGACUUAUGAUGGGGAUGGGUAAAGAAGUUGGAUGAGAUGAUACCCAAAAAUGAUUCCCAGCUUUACCUAAACUAAACAAUGGAAGACUGUAGAAGAUGCCAUUAAGCUAUCUCAAGAAUAUGGAAGAUUAUUAUUCGCUUCUGAUGGGACAGGACUUUACAGGGCACCUGAAAAAAUUCCCAUGAAAAAUCACUUUUACAAAAUGUCAAGUUAUGAUAUCCAAGAUGAAACCAAUGAGUCACAAAAUUCACAUAAUACACUGUACAACCCUGAUCUCCUGACUGUCAUAAAAUGUUUCUUACCUCUAAACCAAAGUUUCAUUUUAUAAUUCAAUUUUUCUCAUUUUUUCUGUUCUCUUAGCUUAAAAAAAGAUCAUUAAAAACUUUUGUAUGUUUUUCAUAUAUGCUUGCAAAGGAUUGUAAAACUUUAUUGUGAUUAUUCUUGCUUUAAGCUGAAACUUCCCUAAUCUUUCUUUAGAGAUUGUGACAUAGCAUGCUAGUUUCCUUUCCAUAUCCAAUUGUUUGCUGUAAUGAAUACACAAAUACAGGCACUAUUUUUGUAACUUUAAAUAGACAUCAUCUCAAGUCUACAAGAAUUAUCCAAAAUGGUAUCUAAUGACAUUUCUAGGUCUUCAGACACUAUUAACACAGAUUGUAGCUCCUAGGUCCUGAAGAUUUUACUAGAUAUUGGUUACCGAAACUGAGCUUUCUUGAAUUCUUUCUCCUUCCACUGUGGUUUCCCACAUUUCAACGUAUCACCGAUUUUUGUCCUCAAACAUUACUUACAUAUUUUCCACAGAAUUAAAUUAAAAAUGAAUCAUCCCUCCUCUGAUUUUUGAAAUGACCCUUUGCUUCCUAUGAUACUGAUUCUUCUGGUCCUUUUUGUAGUUAUAUUUUAGAGUUUGCAAAUAUUCACACAUGUUGCAAUUGCAUAUACUUUUCUUUUCUUUUUUUGGGGGGGGGACGGAGUCUCGCUCUGUCGCCCAGGCUGGAGUGCAGUGGCCGGAUCUCAGCUCACUGCAAGCUCCGCCUUCCGGGUUUACCCCAUUCUCCUGCCUCAGCCUCCCGAGUAGCUGGCGCCCGCCACCUCACCCAGCUAGUGUUUUGUAAUUUUUCAGUAGAGACAGGGUUUCACCGUGUUAGCCAGGAUGGUCUCGAUCUCCUGACCUCGUGAUCCACCCAUCUCGGCCUCCCAAAGUGCUGGGAUUACAGGCUUGAACCACCCACCGCACCCGGCCUAAUUUUCUUAUUAGUUAUUUUUUCCUCUUCUCCUAAAGUUGCUGUUAUUUCUUUUAACUUUUUGUGGGAAAAGUUAAACCCAUCUUUCACUUUGUUGAUACGGUUAUUUGUAAUUUAACGCCUUGAUUUUUGCUCAAAUUGCUUUUCAAGUUACCCACUUUUAGGGAAGACAUUAUUUGGGUUUUGUUUAGUGUAUCAGGCUUUUUUUAAGUUAGUUGUAUCAAGAAGUGUAGACUUUUCUAUACAUGAUAUCCUUUUCUCCACAGUAGUUUUUUUUUUUUUUAAGUCUGUUAAAAUAAAGGUCAUCAAAUGAUCUUUUCCUAAACCUUUCCUCUACCAGAAAUAUCCUUAGAGUCACAUGGGCCUUUCUCCCUUCUUGCUUUUGUAGGCGUACAAAGCUAAUCUGUCUCUGAUCGGAUUGCAUGCACAUGUGCCUUUUGGGGCCCUUGUGCAUUCGUUCUUCCUUCUCUUCUAACCUCAAAAAUGUGUUUUCUCUGUUGGCUCUUUCCCUUUAACAUAGAAGUAUACUCAUGCUUUUGUUGAAUCUUGGAAUAAAAGGCUUUCUUUACCAUAUGUCUCCCUUUAACUACUACUACAUCUCUCUUCUCAGCCAAAUACUUGGGAAGAGAAGCCUUGAGUUUGUGUCGUUGUUUUCUCACCUCCAGUUCACUACUUUACCCACGGCCUGACACCCAGCUCACUCACACACACAAGCCCAAUCACUAAGUUGCCAUAGCUGAUUUGUAGCUUUCCUGCCCUCCUGGCAAAAUUUGACUCUGUGCAUUGGGAUAAUACAUGCUGAGUACCUAUUGAACAGGCACUGUGCUAGGUGCUGCUGUUAUAGAAAUGAAAAGAAGGCAUCAUCUCCUUUCUAACAACUCACAGGAGCAGCCAUUCCUGAUUCAUAUGCAGGUCUCUUGACUCCCAGUGCUCACUUUUUCAGGCUGCACUUACUGCCGUGUAAAUCACCCUAUUCUCCAGGUCUUCUUUCUUCCCACUUCUCCUUACUGUACACAACUUCUCAAGGCAAUCACCUCCAUGCCCAUGGCUUCAGUUGCUUUCUCCAUUCUCUGACAACAAUGGAAUUUUAAAUGUUUUGUUUCAUGUCUUUGCUUUAUUUUACACAAGAUGCCUCAUUUGCUGUAACCAUAG